UGUGGAGGUAGCAGGUCCUCUAUGCUGUCUACAAGGCUCUUAGACUUAGCAUGGCUCUGCUACUCCGGCCUGCACUUACUUUUCCUUGAACGAACUUUAUCCAUCACAAAACCCCCUGACCCCUCAGGUUCCAAGUUCACCCAUCACAGUCUCUUCACUAAACUCAUCCUGGCUCCUCCACGGAUGACCUUGAUAGUCCAAGAGAAAGAAAGUGACCCAUGGUCAACACCAGGAAGUUUUCACCAGAUGACAGUGCAUAUGAUAUGAAUUCAGCCCAAUGUCAGUCAGGAGGCCAGUGACAUCACCUGCACUGCUUUUCAGGAAUGCAGCACUCUGCACAACUAUGAGAGGGAAUCUGUUCUGAGACACAGCCAGGCACAGGAUAUAGUCAGCAACACAAUGUCAGCAAGGAGAUGCACUGUGGGAUUCUCUCUUGAGAAGUAAGAGACAAAACAGACAUUUCCUGUGGUGUUAGCUCUGGGCACUGAAAGGAGAGAAGUCUGCUGUUUAUUUUUAAAACAGCUGUAUUGUUUGUUUUUUUGUUAUUUAUUAGAAAACUCAUUAGUAUAAAAGCAGUAAAAGUAAAUAAGCAGAAGAGAAAGCAAAUAUGUCCUUCCUCCUUCUGAGCAAUUGAAACUUCUAAAAUUGGAUGAGAAAAAAACAAGACAGAAGUUCUACUUUGGAGGUCUGGAGAUCCAAAGAGUGCUGGCCAGCCAGAUUAGCCGAAAGAGAAAAUUUCAGGUUCGGUGAAAGACCUGGGAUCAAGGAAACAAUGGAGUAAGCAACAGAUGACAACACGGAUUUCAUUUUGUAGUCUCUGAACAUACCCACUAAUGUACACAUUUACACACGCCUGCAUAGAUAACACACAGACCACAGAAAUCAGAAGUGAGCAGAAAAAAGUGAAGAGUAUAUCAUGCUGUAUGAACAGCUGAAUUUAAAAUAUGCACAUCAGGGUUUCAACUGAGGCCUACAACAGGGCUAUCCAUCCCUUAGGGACUAAAAAUUCCUAGUGGAGCACACAGCUUAGUCAGACUAUGUUGAGGAGAUUGGAGAAAAUGUUUUCUUGCAGCUUCAAAUCUGUCACUCCAACCCUCACCCUGUCAAAGUCCUCCCACAUCAAUGGUCAUCCAGUCAGCUCCAGACUGGAAGCUCCAGGAUGGAAGAACUGUCCAACACCAUGUCCAGAAAAAAGACUGACAAGGUGGUACUCAGUCUUCUGUCACUUUGAACCAAGAGCUUGGCAAAAGGAAGAGAACACACUGGGAUGCAGGAAGAAAGGAGAAGACCACAUGCCACCCAAAUCGUUGACAAUGAGAACCACUCACUUGGCACUGGCACCGGGCUCUAGUCCUUGAAGGCUGCUUCCUCCCUGUGAUCUCACAUGACCCCUGAAAAGCAUAUGAGCAACAGGCCACUGACAUCAUCAAUGAAAGCUUUGUGAUGUUCCCUAAGUAGCUCCCUGCAUAGCAGCCCUCUGAUCAUAAUGACAUGUAGGUGUGUGAUAUGUGACUGACCCAGCUCUCUCAAUGUACUGCAGCUUCUAGCAGAGCAGAAGGGUUUGCUUGACAAUUAUCCAGAUUCUUGCAAGAGGCUAACUCUCCAGAAAGACUUGUGAUCUACGUGGACAUGCGGAAAGAUGGGCAGCAGCAUGCAAUAUUUGAUGGAUGCCAAGUGAGGGGGCACAGUACUUUUUCAAUAAAGUUGGUCCCAUCAUCAUUAAAGAUGAAUGACCUUGAUAGUCCAAGAGAAAGAAAGUGACCCAUGGUCAACACCAGGAAGUUUUCAACAGAUGACAGUGCAUAUGAUAUGAAUUCAUCCCAAUGUCAGUCAGAAGGACAGUGAGAUCACCUGCAGUGCUUUUCAGGAAUGCAGCACUCUGCACAACUAUGAGAGGGAAUCUGUUCUGAGACACAGCCAUGCACAGGAUAUAGUCAGCAACACAAUGUCAGCAAGGAUAUGCACUGUGGGAUUCUCUGUUGAGAAGUAAGAGACCAAACAGAUAUUUCCUGUGGUGUUAGCUCUGGGCAGUGAAAGGAAAGAAGUCUGCUGUUUAUUUUUAAAACAGCUGUAUUGUUUGUUUUUUUGUUAUUUAUUAGAAAACUCAUUAGUAUAAAAGCAGUAAAAGUAAAUAAGCAGAAGAGAAAGCAAAUAUGUCCUUCCUCCUUCUGAGCAAUUGAAACUUCUAAAAUUGGAUGAGAAAAAAACAAGACAGAAGUUCUACUUUGGAGGUCUGGAGAUCCAAAGAGUGCUGGCCAGCCAGAUUAGCCCAAAGAGAAAAUUACAGGUUCGGUGAAAGACCUGGGAUCAAGGAAACAACGGAGUAAGCAACAGAUGACAACACAGAAUUUCAUUUUGUAGCCUCUGAACAUACCCACUAAUGUACACAUUUACACAUGCCUGCAUAGAUAACACACAGACCACAAAAAUCAGAAGUGAGCAGAAAAAAGUGAAGAGUGUAUCAUGCUGUAUGAACAGUUGAAUUUAAAAUAUGCACAUCAGGGUUUCUACUGAGGCCUACAACACAGCUAUCCAUCCCUUAGGGACUAAAAAUUCCUAGUGGAGCACACAGCUUAGUCAGACUAUGUUGAGGAGAUUGGAGAAAAUGUUUUCUUGCAGCUUCAUAUCUGUCACUCCAAGCCUCAGCCUGUCAAAGUCCUCCCACAUCUAUGGUCAUCCAGUCAGCUCCAGACUGGAAGCUCCAGGAUGGGAGAACUGUCCAGCAUCAUGUCCAGAAAAAGGACUGACAAGGUGGUACUCAGGCUUCUGUCACUUUGAACCAAGAGCUUGGCAAAAGGAAGAGAACACACUGGGAUGAAGGAAGAAAGGAGAAGACCACAUAUCACCCAAAUCGUUGACAAUGAGAACCACUCACUUGGCACUGGCACCGGGCUCUAGUCCUUGAAGGCUGCUUCCUCCCUGUGAUCUCACAUGACCCCUGCAAAGCAUAUGAGCCACAGGCCACUGACAUCAUCAGUGAAAGCUUUGUGAUGUUCCCUAAGUACCUCCCUGCAUAGCAGCCCUCUGAUCAUAAUGACAUGUAGGUGUGUGAUAUGUGCCUGACCCAGCUCUCUCAAUGUACUGCAGCUUCUAGCAGAGCAGAAGGGUUUGCUUGACAAUUAUCCAGAUUCUUGAAAGAGACUAACUCUCCAGAAAGACUUGGUAAUGAUCACAGAAAUCAACAAUUGGAUAUUAUGUAGGUGGGAGUCUGGAUGGAUGGGUGGAUGGUACAUGGUUGUCUCUAUGUUUAUGGUUAGAAGGUGGGCACCUGCCCCCGCAGCUUCAGCCUUCCUGCUGCUGCUCAGCAGAAGGGUCACUGAUCAUCUCAUGGGCCUCCUUCAAGAGCCUCUUCAGCUCCUCACAGGACUCUUGCAGUUCAGUCUGCUCCUUCCAUAGCAGGCUGUUCUUCAGUCUCAGCACAUGUAUAUUCUCCUUUCACUGAGUCCAAUCUCAGAUGACCUGGCUUUGGAGGUAACUGAUCAACUGCCAAAACAUGGUGAGCCCCAGCCAGCCUCCUUUGCCAUUCCUACCUCCAAGUACCACCAGUGCUGAAAAUUCCCAGACUCACAGACAGCCCAAGAAUGGAGUUUUCAGUAGCCAAGCCAGCAUCACUUAGAUGCAGGCCAAAUCAAGAGAGUAACCAAAUUCCAGAAAGAUUCAAAGUACUUCUGAAAACCCUAAUUCCAAAAGGGGUAC